AUUUAAAUAGUUUAUUAAAAAUAUUAGUUUGUGGGGCUAAAGUUAUAUUUAUAUGUAUUUUAAAUA
rnacentral:tRNA from 1 species